CCUCCCCCUCGGAGAUGGGCCUCCUCUUUGAAUGCAACGUGCUCUGCUCGUGUGCCAGCUCCUGCUCCAACCGGGUGGUGCAGAGGGGCACCAGGGUUCAGCUGCAGCUCUUCCGGACGCCAGCCAAGGGCUGGGGCGUGCGCACUGCACAGGAUGUCCCCCGUGGAGCCUUUCUGUGCCAGUACUUUGGGGAGCUGAUUUCCAGCACAGAGGCCGCGGGG